CAUAGUUUUGGUCCUAAACUUACUGCUACUUUUAAUCAAAUUUACACAUGCAAGCAUCCACACACCAGUGAAAUACGCCCUAACACAGUAUAAAUGGAGCAGGUAUCAGGCACAACCGCCAGCCAAAAACACCAAGCUUUGCCACACCCACACGGGCCCUCAGCAGUGAUAAACAUUAAGCAAUAAGCGAACACACCAAACUAAAGCUUGACUUAGUUAUGAUUAACAGGGCCGGUAAACCUCGUGCCAGCCACCGCGGUUACACGGCGGGCCCAAAGCAGCAGACUCUCGGCGUAAAUAGUGGCCAGAAUAAUUACCCCCACAUUAAAAACUAAACCAUACCCUAACCGUAAAACACAGGCUAAAUGAAAUCAAGCACUUUUAAUAACAGGUAAUUUGACCCACGAAAACUAAGAAACAAACUAGGAUUAGAUACCCUACUAUGCUUAGUCGUUAAUAUGAUAUUAUAGUACUAAAAUAUCCGCCAGAAAACUACGAGCGAAAAGCUUAAAACUCAAAGGACUUGGCGGUGCUCCAUACCGACUUAGAGGAGCCUGUCCUAUAAUCGAUACCCCACGCUAAACCCC
rnacentral:rRNA from 1 species